AACAGUCCAAGCAGUGCCAGGGGUAGGAUGGUAUUUUUCCCCCCUCAUUAUUAGCAUCAUUAUUAUUAUUUUUUUUGAGAUCUAGAUUUUUUUUUUCCUCUCCUCGGGGUUGGAAGUGUUGGUUGCCUUGGGCAUUUUGGGAUAUAAUGUGUUUACUGCUGCGUCUCGUGCUUGCUUCCUUUUCUCAACCCCUAGGGGCAAAACGCAGUAUAUUUCCUUUGGACGAUGCAGUGAACAGGGGCAGAAGGAGUUGUAAAUACCUUUUUUUUUUCCUUUUUUUUUCUUUUUUAGGGAAAAAAACCCCAUGCUAUGCCUUGCUAAGCUCCCCCCAUCCCCUGUCCAAGCAGAGAAGAAACUGUUUCGCUUUGGUUUCCAUCUUUCUUAUUUUUUUAUAUGAUUAUGAUGAUUAUUUUUCCUUUUUUAAAAAAAAAAAUGUUUCUGUGGAGCUGAGCUGCAGCGUCAGUGGAUCAGAAAGAGAGAGAGAGAGAAAGAGAGAGAGAGAGACAGAGAGAGACAGGGAGAGGGGGAGACAGGCAACGUUGGCAGAGAUAACACGUAGAAGGUGAGAUCAGUUGAAACGAGGAAGUCGUGCUAUAGCAUCACUUCCACCAGCCUCCGAGUAUUUAACGCGGACACCAACGCGGUGUUAUUCGAGGGCUGCAUGGAGAAGACCAGCCAUGUAUGCACACAUGCCUGUGUGUACACCCCCGAGCAUGUGGAUGUGUGCAGAUGUAGCUGCACGGGUGUGCACACGCGUGUUCUACACGCCUGUGUGUCGAAGAGUGCGCAGCUCAAGGUUGCCUACACACCUUUAUAUACGCUUUCUAGCCGCUCUUUUUUUUUUCCAGACGAGGGCUGUACACCGUGUACACAUCACCCGGAGGCACAUAGGAUACACCCAGAGCCUGGAGGUGUUUUUAAAAUAUACACCGAGCUUGUGCACACGCAGUCACACACCCGGGCGCAAUUCUGAUCUGUGGAUUCCGGAUAUCAGCCCCUUUCCCCCCCGACCCCCAACAGCUCAUCUUAAUUUUCCCUGGAGGCAAAACACUUCGCCCCUGCUUUGGGGUUUUCUGCGUGGGAAGAGCACCCCCGGCCAACCUGCCUCCGCACCUAGGCAAGAUGCCCGGGCUCCCAGAGGGCGGUGAGAUUUGCCCUGCAGUUGCAUUAGCAGGCUCCACCAGCUGCCACAAACAACUUCAUCCCCUUCCCUUCCUCCAACAAAUAAGCAGGCGUCUGAAUUGGCAUUCAGAAUCCGAUCCGGACAGUAGCAAUUUUAUUAAGGCUUUUGGGGCUGUUUGGGAAAAGGGGAAGGUGGGUGGAGGAAAGAGGUGUGGGGGGGACUGAUUUGGGUUUGUUUCCUUUCAGUAAUUACUGGGGAUAGAAAACACAUGUGUUGGGCUUGCAUUUUUUGAAGCCUUUUUUUUUCUAAACCAGUUCAUCAAUUCGCUAAUUAUAGGUGGAGGAGAGAAAGGGGGGGGGGGGCGGGGGCAGGAGAAAAAAAUUCCGACACAUACACACCCAUAUAUGCGUGUGUGUGCAUGCGUGCGUAGGUGUGCAUGUGUAUACAACAUAUAUACACACACACACACAUACAUAUGUACAUACAUAUAUAUAUACAUACACACACACAUAUAUAUACACACAUAUGUAUGUGUGUGUGUGUGUAUGUGUGUGUGUUGGGAGGCUUCUCCUGUGAUAUAUUUCUCCUGUGAACAUCAGAAUGGGGAAGGGAGAGGGGGAGGGAAAAAAAAAAAAGAGGAAUAUGGCAUAUGAGUGGUGAAUGUUAUUUCGGAUUUCUGUGAGCUCUUUAUUUCUGAGAACAAAGAGCAACUGCUAUUAAAGAACUACUCCAGGAGCAGCGCAUAUUUUCACUGCUGUGUAGCAGUUUUAAUAAAACAUCUGUUCUUGCUUCUGCUGAUGAGUUUACAUAAUUGUUUGCAGACCAAUUUAACCAGAAAGCGCCCUGGAUAUUUCCCUGUACAUGUUUUCAAAGGGGGGGGGCGGUGAGAGAGAGAGAAAAAAAAACCCUUUGGGAGUGAAAUACCUUGAUGAAAUGCUUUCUAGAAAUCCCAAUACUCUUUUUAAAACAAAAUCAAUGGGAGAAAUAUCCAGGGCAUUAAAUGUGCUAAGAGGAGAGGCGCAAGCAGGAAAACGCCAUCUGAUUCUGUUACAGGCUUUUCCUCCCAAGAACUCAGAUUUUCAGUAGGAAGAGGGACCUAUUUUAAGUUUCUUUACGGCAGCUGGGUUGUGUUCACUAUAAAUCCACCAGACUUUUAAGACUUGCCCUCUGUUUACAGAAGUAAUAAAACACUUAACUUUCUCGACUCCUAGUCACACGGUUAUCUCACAGUUCUCCACUGCCAGAGCCCCCCUGAGCACCUAGACCAAAACAAAACAAAACAAAAUCAUCCCACCCAAGACACGACUUUCCCCCCAAACUUUGCCCAGGCUGGGAUUGUUCUCAAUGUGCUUCCAUAGGUGAAACACCCCACGUGAACCAGCCCCGGACAGGCUCCUCUACUCUGCAUCUGCAGGAGCUGAUGCUACUUGCACUCCCCACAUUGCAUGGGAUUAGAAGGGGUACCUAAAAAGCAGGCAACAUACCCAGAAGCAAAGAGUCUUCCUGGACAGCCAGCCAUCCACCCCAUUUCCUGCCCACUGCAACAUUUUCAUAUCUCCUGGAUAUAUCGCUGGUUUCCAAAGUAACCACGCUUUUAAAUGUGUGCAGGGAGGAUGCGUACAUACAGGCAACACGCAUCCCCACACACAUGAUCUAGGGCACAUACGUGUGUCCUCAGGCAUCUGCAUGGGUGCAUGGGCAGGGAGGGUAUUUGCAAGGGGGAGCGCUUUGCUUGUUUGUUUGUGUCCCCAAAAUCCCCGGGUAUAAAAUGUCCAAUGCCUGGAGAAAUAGGAGAAGCAGAAGGAAACGCAGAGGAAAGUAAACUCCAGUCAAUCUUCCCUCUGUGUAUUAUUGUGAUAUCUCCACGAGGUUGCCUACAAGUUGAGCUCAGUAGGGUGGGAUCCCUGGAACAAGACUAACAAGGUACAUAUGCUAAAUAACGUGAUGCGUACUAUCACCGAUCUGCUUUUUUUUUUUUUUUUUGGUUAGAAACUUUAUUUUUUUUUUCCUAGUGGCACUCAGGGGAAGCCUUAAUGUUAUAGAAGAUGAAUACACGCGCUUUUUUUUCAGUUGUAGCCUCCUUUAUGGCUUUAUUGCUACCAUUGAUUACUUUGCUUUGUUACAGAGAGGAAAAAAGAUCAUAAAAUGCUCUCGCAUCCGGGUUCCUGUUAUAGCUAGGGGGAAAAAAAUAUAGCUCCCCCACCCUUCUUUGUCAACUAAAAUCUUUUUAGAGAUACAUCGCUAAGAAGGAAUUAAGGGUAUUGAUUAAUAGCAAGGAAACACAUGCACAUGUUCGGAUUUCACCAUGCCCCCUCUCAGCCCUGCAUCACACCAGAGCACUCUGCCACCAGUCCUAAAUUUUCAAAUCAAAUGUGCACCCGAAGGAAGAAGAAGAAGAAUGGGGGGGAGGGAGGAAGGCCAGGCUUUCCCUUGCCAUAAGUGAUUUUUUUAAAUAGCAAGCCACCAGCAUGAUGAAGCUACCUCGCAAUAUUUACAGAUCAGCAGGUAUGUGUUACAUUUAAGAAGCAAUUUAUGGCUCGAGAUUGAAAUUAAAAUUAGAUUAGCUGUCUUCAUUUCAAUUAGGGCGAGGUGCAAGGCACCAGGAGCAGAGAUAAUAUCAUCUUCUCUUUAAUCUAACUAAAUAUUUGCCAUGGAAAUGUCUUCGCCAGCUGUAAAUAUCUGGACCCAUAAAUUUCUGCAAACGUAAACACGAGGUGUUGCCCUCACCCAAGAGUUUCCAAUCAACUAAAAAUUACAAAUAGAAGCAGCUGCUAUUUUGGGGCUGUAGUUAUUGUGGAAGAUGUACACCCUGGCAGGACCAAAUGGUCAGGGGACUAUUGGAGACAGAGAUAUCCAACAGCCCUAAAAGAAAGCCUCAACUUUGGGGUUAAACGUGAGUUGUUCGGAAGAUUUGCUGUCUUUUAUUCCAGUUUUUCUCCCCAACACCUUGAAUUCUCUACAGGACACACUAUCCAUUCAGCAGUCGCCAUGUUUUGUUCCCUCUUUCUGUCAUAUUUUCUCCCAAAGAACACAACCAUUUGAUUCCCUCAUAUUGACCAGUGCGACGUGAAAAGAAGAAGAGGAGAGGAGGAAAAAAAACACGAAGAGAAUUUAUAGCUUAAUAUUCUGUGGACAUCUGUGAUUUAUUACUUUGAAUGCUGGGCUAUUUUGUUACCAGAUAUUAAGAAAACAUUAAAAAAAAAAAAAAGACUGUGGUGCUAAAGCACAGUGUCCAUUUAAAAA